CAUUAGCCCUGAUGGAAAUGGAAAGCCUCGACGGAAUAAACCUAUUUUUUCUUGUGGUGCAAGAGCGACCAACGAAAGCUCCAUGCGGCACAAUAGAAAAAAAGGUUUAUGACAGAGAGCUUGUAAUGGACAGCAGGAGAAAGC
rnacentral:sRNA from 1 species